rnacentral:rRNA from 1 species
GACGUAGGGCGCGAGCGUUGUCCGGAUUUAUUGGGCGUAAAGAGCUCGUAGGCGGCUUGUCGCGUCGACUGUGAAAUCCCGCGGCUCAACUGCGGGUCUGCAGUCGAUACGGGCAGGCUAGAGUUCGGUAGGGGAGACUGGAAUUCCUGGUGUAGCGGUGAAAUGCGCAGAUAUCAGGAGGAACACCGGUGGCGAAGGCGGGUCUCUGGGCCGAUACUGACACUGAGGAGCGAAAGCGUGGGGAGCGAACAGG